GGGUGUAUAGCUCCGUGGCAGAGCACGCGCUUAGCAUGCACGAGGUCCUGGGUUCCAUCCCCGGUACUUCCA
rnacentral:tRNA from 1 species